CAGCCGCCGCGGUAAUACGUAGGGUGCGAGCGUUAAUCGGAAUUACUGGGCGUAAAGCGUGCGCAGGCGGCUUUGCAAGACAGAUGUGAAAUCCCCGGGCUCAACCUGGGAACUGCAUUUGUGACUGCAAGGCUAGAGUGCGGCAGAGGGAGAUGGAAUUCCGCGUGUAGCAGUGAAAUGCGUAGAUAUGCGGAGGAACACCGAUGGCGAAGGCAAUCUCCUGGGCCUGCACUGACGCUCAUGCACGAAAGCGUGGGGAGCAAACAGGAUUAGAUACCCCGGUAGUCCCUGUCUCUUAUAC
rnacentral:rRNA from 1 species